UCAAUGCACUAACGUGCGAAGGGGUUACCUCGAGUGCUAUCUGAUGAAGGUGGCUUUUCCAUGGUCUAAAAAGCCUAGGGAAUAAGAGGGGGGCAAGACUGGUGUCAGCCGCCGCGGUAACACCAGCCCCUCGAGUGGUGGGGAUGAUUAUCUGGCCUAAAGCGUCCGUAGCCUGCCAGAUAAGUUUCCCGUUAAAUCCAACGUCUCAAGCGUUGGACUGCGGGAAAUACUGUCUGGCUAGAGAGUGGGAGAGGUCAGCGGUAUUCUGGGGGUAGGGGCGAAAUCCUUUGAUCCCCGGAGGACCACCAGUGGCGAAGGCUGCUGACUAGAACACGCCUGACGGUCAGGGACGAAAGCUGGGGUAGCGAACCGGAUUAGAUACCCGGGUAGUCCCAGCCGUAAACGAUGCAUGCUAGGUGUUGGGUUGGCCACGAGCCACCCCAGUGCCGCAGGGAAGCCGUUAAGCAUGCCGCCUGGGAAGUACGAUCGCAAGAUUGAAACUUAA
rnacentral:rRNA from 1 species